AGUCAAUAGAUACCCGGGUAGUCUUGGCUGUAAACGGUGCGCAUUUGCUGUAAACGGAAUCGACCCCGUUUGUGGCGAAAGCUAAACGCGAUAAAUGCGCCGCCUGGGAAGUACGGUCGCAAGAUUAAAACUCAAAGAAAUUGACGGGGGCCUGCACAAGCGGUGGAGUAUGUGGCUUAAUUCGAUGCAACGCGAAGAACCUUACCUGGCCUUGACAUGCAUUUAGUAGAACCAUGAAAGUGGGACGAUCCCGCAAGGGAAGGAUGCACAGGUGCUGCAUGGCUGUCGUCAGCUCGUGUCGUGAGAUGUUGGGUUUAAGUCCCGCAACGAGCGCAACCCUUGUGUCCUGUUGCCACUCCUACGAGAGUAGGAAGCACUCUGGACAGACUGCCUCGCUUAAACGAGGAGGAAGGUGGGGAUGACGUCAAGUCAGUAUGGCCCUUACGGCCAGGGCUGCACACGUACUACAAUGCGCGGCACAGAAGGAAGCUAGACCGUCAGGUGGAGCAAAUCCCGAAAACCGCGCCCA
rnacentral:rRNA from 1 species